UGUGGCGUUGCCCAGACAACUAGGAUGUUGGCUUAGAAGCAGCCAUCAUUUAAAGAGUGCGUAAUAGCUCACUAGUCGAGUGACACUGCGCCGAAAAUGUACCGGGGCUAAACAUAUUACCGAAGCUGUGGAUUGUCCUUUGGACAAUGGUAGGAGAGCGUUCUAAGGGCGUUGAAGCAUGAUCGUAAGGACAUGUGGAGCGCUUAGAAGUGAGAAUGCCGGUGUGAGUAGCGAAAGACGGGUGAGAAUCCCGUCCACCGAUUGACUAAGGUUUCCAGAGGAAGGCUCGUCCGCUCUGGGUUAGUCGGGUCCUAAGCUGAGGCCGACAGGCGUAGGCGAUGGAUAACAGGUUGAUAUUCCUGUACCACCUAUAAUCGUUUUAAUCGAUGGGGGGACGCAGUAGGAUAGGCGAAGCGUGCGAUUGGAUUGCACGUCUAAGCAGUAAGGCUGAGUAUUAGGCAAAUCCGGUACUCGUUAAGGCUGAGCUGUGAUGGGGAGAAGACAUUGAGUCUUCGAGUCGUUGAUUUCACACUGCCGAGAAAAGCCUCUAGAUAGAAAAUAGGUGCCCGUACCGCAAACCGACACAGGUAGUCAAGAUGAGAAUUCUAAGGUGAGCGAGCGAACUCUCGUUAAGGAACUCGGCAAAAUGACCCCGUAACUUCGGGAGAAGGGGUGCUCUUUAGGGUUAACGCCCAGAAGAGCCGCAGUGAAUAGGCCCAAGCGACUGUUUAUCAAAAACACAGGUCUCUGCUAAACCGUAAGGUGAUGUAUAGGGGCUGACGCCUGCCCGGUGCUGGAAGGUUAAGAGGAGUGGUUAGCUUCUGCGAAGCUACGAAUCGAAGCCCCAGUAAACG
rnacentral:rRNA from 1 species